AACGCGAAGAACCUUACCUGGGCUUGAACCGCUGGUGACUAACGGUAGAAAUAUCGUCUUCUCGCAAGAGACACCAGUAGAGGUGCUGCAUGGCUGUCGUCAGCUCGUGCCGUGAGGUGUUGGGUUAAGUCCCGCAACGAGCGCAACCCUUAUCCUUAGUUGCCACCCGCAAGGGGGAACUCUAAGGGGACUGCUCCGGAUAACGGAGAGGAAGGUGGGGAUGACGUCAAGUCAGCACGGCCUUUAUGUCCAGGGCUACACACGUGUUACAAUGCAGAGUACAAACCGUCGCGAACCCGCGAGGGGGAGCUAAUCGGAAAAAAGUCUAGCUCAGUUCGGAUUGCAGUCUGCAACUCGACUGCAUGAAGCCGGAAUCGCUAGUAAUGGCGUAUCAGAACGACGCCGUGAAUACGUUCCCGGGCCUUGUACACACCGCAUAC
rnacentral:rRNA from 1 species